CAAGACAUACAGCACAUACUGAGGAAGACAAACAGGGCAGCUGCAGGAGAAGCUUCCAGGCCCUCACAGGCAGUUGCCAUCUCACCAGCUAUGAGGCUGCAGAUCAUCUGGGUUGAGCUGUGACCAGGUUCUGGUUAAGCACACGGACCUUCAUCAAAGGGUCCCUGAACCACCCUUUGCUUUCUGGGAACGACUGACGUUCAGCUCUCCCCUUAGAAGAGCUCACGAGAAACCAUUCAUCACUGCUUACCCCUGGAAUCAUCAAGAGACUUAAACUGCUGGGAUAGGAUCUUAGUGAACCCAAGUUGCCAUCAGUAAUGAACACGCUAUUCCUCUAUAAGCUUUGACAAGCCAUCUGCCUCGUAACCACUACAUCACCUUCCAGUCUACUUCCACAGCCUGAGAAAAGUUUCGUGGAACUUCGGAGCAGAAUCUCAGCGGACUGAGGAAAUGAAACACUGGGAGAGUUUGACCAGGAGAGAAGAGUCUAAGGGGCCUGGCCUCUGAAUGGGCAGUGGUGUGCCUGGAGAGCACUGGGACUGGGGUGUACACUCUUUGAACUGGCUUGGAAGUUAAGGCAGAGGUAGAUGGGUGGUCUUGAACAACACAAGCUGGAGA
rnacentral:lncRNA from 1 species